rnacentral:rRNA from 1 species
UGCAAGUCGAACGAUGAAGCCCAGCUUGCUGGGUGGAUUAGUGGCGAACGGGUGAGUAACACGUGAGUAACCUGCCCUUAACUCUGGGAUAAGCCUGGGAAACUGGGUCUAAUACCGGAUAGGAGCGUCCACCGCAUGGUGGGUGUCGGAAAGAUUUAUCGGUUUUGGAUGGACUCGCGGCCUAUCAGCUUGUUGGUGAGGUAAUGGCUCACCAAGGCGACGACGGGUAGCCGGCCUGAGAGGGUGACCGGCCACACUGGGACUGAGACACGGCCCAGACUCCUACGGGAGGCAGCAGUGGGGAAUAUUGCACAAUGGGCGAAAGCCUGAUGCAGCGACGCCGCGUGAGGGAUGACGGCCUUCGGGUUGUAAACCUCUUUCAGUAGGGAAGAAGCGAAAGUGACGGUACCUACAGAAGAAGCACCGGCUAACUACGUGCCAGCAGCCGCGGUAAUACGUAGGGUGCGAGCGUUAUCCGGAAUUAUUGGGCGUAAAGAGCUCGUAGGCGGUUUGUCGCGUCUGUCGUGAAAGUCCGGGGCUUAACCCCGGAUCUGCGGUGGGUACGGGCAGACUAGAGUGCAGUAGGGGAGACUGGAAUUCCUGGUGUAGCGGUGGAAUGCGCAGAUAUCAGGAGGAACACCGAUGGCGAAGGCAGGUCUCUGGGCUGUAACUGACGCUGAGGAGCGAAAGCAUGGGGAGCGAACAGGAUUAGAUACCCUGGUAGUCCAUGCCGUAAACGUUGGGCACUAGGUGUGGGGACCAUUCCACGGUUUCCGCGCCGCAGCUAACGCAUUAAGUGCCCCGCCUGGGGAGUACGGCCGCAAGGCUAAAACUCAAAGGAAUUGACGGGGGGCCCGCACAAGCGGGCGGAGCAUGCCGGAUUAAUUCCGAUGCAACGCCGAAAGAACCUUACCAAAGGCUUUGACAUGGUUCUCCGAUCCGCCGUAAAAGAUACCGGUUUCCCCUUUUGGGGGGGGGUUCACAAGGUGGGGGCAUGGGUUGUCCGCAAGCUCCGUGUCCGUGAGAAUGUUGGGGUUAAAGU